UAGUCAACACACGUGUCUGUCAGUAUAGAACCCUAAUGAAAUCCCAAACCGACUCUUCAACAAGAGUUAUGUUUCAUCGACACCUGACCCCCAACGCCAGAUGACCAAAAACACCUCCAACAUCCAAGAUUGGGGCUUUUCAGAUUCGUGGACGAUCUCAGAUUGCGAAGAAACAAAACUGUUGUUGCUGAUACAUCAUCAUCAUUAUCAUUAUCGCAGAGAAAGAGAUCUCAUCUCAAUCUAAAGGAGACAGAGGAUGCAAUCUGCUUCAAGAUCAUGAUUUUUUUUCAACCAAUUUCAAUUUCUAUUGCUAAAGUUUAAACCUUUGCCUAUUGCGCAAUGGCUGCGUUUGUCGUUUGGUCCGUAUGAUUUGAAUUUCAUCCAAAGGUUGACCAAAAACACCUCCAACACCCAAAAAGAUUGGGGUUUUUCAUAUUCGUGGACGAUCUCAGAUUGCGAAGAAGCAAAACUGUUGUUGCUGAUCCAUCAUCAUCAUUAUCAUCAUCGCAGAGAAAGAGAUCUCAUCUCAAUCUAAAGGGUUAUGGCUGUUCGUUCUGUGCUUGGAAAGCUGGGUAGGAGUAGAUUUAUUCCCGACAAUGGAAGACAUAUCAUGGUUGGGAGUUCUCCUACUGUUUGUUCCUCUCCUCAUCACCCUUUUGAUUAUUAUGGGGUCGUCCAUGAUCGAAACAAAGCGGAUCAAAAAAGCAACCCUUUUCUUCUUGGAUCGCUUAUGAAAGAGCCACUUUAUCGUCAUUUGGAUUUUGGAGGACUAGGACCUGCUCGUUUCGCCAUCGAAGAGUUGAGGAAGAAAAGGAAUAUCCAACUGCAGUCUGUGAGAGUGUUGAGGGUGUUAGCAAGGAAACAUGUUGGCUUGCCACGAUAUGAUUCUUACUAUGAUCUACUGCUGGAGGCAGUUGAUGCCGAUGUGAUGAGAUAUUUCGAAGUAACAGUGUCACUUAGUUCCAGGGAUGACUUGUGGUUGGAAGACUUUUGUCUUCUCGUUGAUAAUAAAAAACCUAUAAGAUUAUAUUAUCACCUAGGUACUAUAAUUAUGGCAUGCUGCUUUCACAAUAUCCUUAAGAAUUUAGUAUUAGUAAUGUGAUCAUUCGAGGACUCACUUGUUAGUGUAGUUUAACUAUACAAACCGUCACUAAAAGAAAAAGCAUUAGUAGCCACUGACAUCAGUUGUACAGAAUGGCUAGAGGUACUAUUAGUGUCUAAUAUCACAAUGGUCACCAAUAACUGUGGCUGUUAGCUAUUAGCCAUUGAUGUUGCCCUUUAGCCACCUCAUCCUAUGCUACUAAUUUCAGUGACUAUUAAGGGUUUUUCUUUUAUUGUUGAUUUUUCAAGUCUUUACUCAUAGAUCAUCCUUGGAAAAAAAAAUGCGGAGUUGGUGGGGUUGGGUUAGUCUGCUAAUGAUAUUCCUAAUUAUGCAUAUGACGUAGUUCUUGUGGAUGACAAACCCGAAAAUGUGAGAAUGUUGCAUAUUGAUGAAUGAAUUGAAUUUUUUGCUUGAAACAGACAACUUUUUUGAUGCAUAUGCUAAGGCUCGAGAGCAGUUAUCAUUUGGUAUGCGAAAAGGAAACCUCUCUAUGCUGCCUCCCUUAGCCCUCCCUCAUCUCUCAUACACAAACCCGGGACACAAAGAGGAAACCACUGCUCCAAAACGCAGAGGUCGAACGAAUGCAUGUGAAGCGGCGAAACACUUCGGUCCAGCUCCCGGUGUACCUCAAAAGUACACCAAACCUUAUGUCCGGUCAAAGAGAAGGAAGUUUGAGAAGGCUAGAGGAAAGAGGAACAAUGAGGGCUUUAGAGGUUGAAUCAUUUAGAAUUGAAAAUGCUAUUUCUAGAACCUAAUUUUGCUUGUUUUUAAGUGUUUGGUAUCAUGUUUAUUUCUCUGUCGAGGAGAGAAGCCCACUACCAUCUAUCUCGAAAACAAUCCAUAUGUAUGGUUAUCUGCAAUCUGAAUGACCUAAAUAUUUAAAAUUGUUUUAUUUUUUAUUCUUUCGAGAUGCUUAGCUGCGGCUUACGGAAGUUGAAAUUAGUGUGUUCAGAAAUGUGAAAGGUGGUGUAUGUGAGAGUUAUGCAACUCCUAAACCCAUAAAGGUGGCUCAUAAUGCCAAACUGCAGCUUGUGAGAGUUUUGAGGGCAUGGUACAGAUGUACUGGUGGUUCGAUCUCAUAUUUUUUUACAAUGGAGGCAGUUUAUAAGGGUGUGGUUAAAGUUUACCAAGCAUUGGUUUUUGUACGUAGCCGCGAAAGGGAGCUAAGAUUGUUUGGUCUUCUUAAUGUUGAUAACGGGAGUUUGUUAAAACUAAUUGUUAAAGGACCUACAAGAUCUUAUGAAGGACUAUCUGCGUACAUAGACCCAUGGCACGUCAAGAAGAAGAUUCCAAGAAAGACAAGCAGAAAUUGUCUUGAGGAAGAGAUACUAAGCACCUUACUGCACAUGUCACCUCUCCGAUAAUAUUAAGCUGCAUAAAUUUGAAACAAAUAUUCAUGGUGUAUAUUCAUCAUGAGUUUUUUUAUUUUGUAUUGUUGACAGAGCACCAGUUUAAGUUUUGCUUUUUAGUAAAGCUUGAGAUUUUGUCUUGGAUAUACUUUAAAGAGGGAGGGGAUCUAUGAUUUGGUUAAAAAC